GCUCAUGUGGUGAAAUGGUAGACACGCUAGCUUCAGGUGCUAGUGCCCUCCGGGGCGUGCUGGUUCAAGUCCAGUCAUGAGCA
rnacentral:tRNA from 1 species